GUCUACGGCCAUACCACCCUGAACGCGCCCGAUCUCGUCUGAUCUCGGAAGCUAAGCAGGGUCGGGCCCGGUUAGUACUUGGAUGGAGACCGCCUGGAAUACCGGGUGCUGUAGGCU
rnacentral:rRNA from 1 species